CCUACGGGGGGCUGCAGUGGGGAAUAUUGGACAAUGGGCGAAAGCCUGAUCCAGCCACGCCGCGUGUGUGAUGAAGGCCUUCGGGUCGUAAAGCACUGUGGGGAGGGAAGAACGAGCAGUGGGCUAAUAUCCCAUUGCAGUGACGGUACCUCCUUAGCAAGCACCGGCUAACUCCGUGCCAGCAGCCGCGGUAAUACGGAGGGUGCAAACGUUGCUCGGGAUUAUUGAGCGUAAAUGCUAUGUCGGCGGUGAAAGCCCUGGGCUUAACCUAGGAAGUGCGCUCGAAACUGGCAGGAUUGAGUACGGGAGAGGGUCGCGGAAUUCCCGGUGUAGAGGUGAAAUUCGUAGAUAUCGGGAGGAACACCAGUGGCGAAGGCGGCGACCUGGACCGAUACUGACGCUGAGACGCGAAAGCGUGGGUAGCAAACAGGAUUAGAUACCCUAGUAGUC
rnacentral:rRNA from 1 species